UUUCAGACUUCAGAUAUCCUUGCUCAAAGAAAGGCAACAGCUCUCAAAGGGCUCCCUGUGUUUAUGAGGGAAAAGUCAGAAAACGUCCUGAAGACCUGCCUGGACACAGAGCCAGAAGACAGUUACACAAAGAGGAUGAAGAUGGGGAUCUUAAGCAUCGUCAAAGAUGAUGUUGCCAGCAUCCAUUCCAACCCAAAUGUAAGGUGCCUCUAGUUGUGCUGGAGUUCUUCCCAGUUCUUUUGAUUUCCUCUUUGGCCUGAACAUGAACUAUCCUAAAGAGCUUAAAUAAACUUUUGAAACCACUAAUUUGUUGUUCUAGUUGUUCCUGUUGUUUCAGUAACAGUUGUUCCUUAACUGUACAUGUCCAAAAAAAAAAAACCUUUGAGUUGUAAUGUAAGGCCCAGUGUUGGUUUAGCAGUUGUAAUUCUUGAUUUCUUCAGCACGUUUGUUGCAUGGAUGUACCAAAUGUAAUAGACAAAAUUUCAAAAAUGCAAUGCAAGGUGUGUUGUAACUUUUAAAGGGUUAGUUCAGCAAAAAAUUAACAUUCUGUCAUUAAUUUCUCACCCUCAUGUGUUUCUACCCCCGUAAGACCUUCUUUCAUCUUCAGAACACAAAUUAAGGUAUUUUUUAUGAAAUCUGAUGGCUCAGUGAGACCUCUAUUGCCAGCAAUGUUACUGCACCUCUCAAGACAUAUUUGUAUGUCUGUAUUUGUAGGUACUGAAAACAUAUUUAAGACAGUGGUUCAACUGUAAUGUUAUAAAGCGUCAAAUACUUUUUGUGCACCAAAAAAACAAAAAUAACAACUUUUCAACUAUGUAGUGAUGGGCGAUAUCAAAACACUGCUUUGGAGCUUUACGAAUCGAAUCAGUGGUUCACGUGAUUUCAGCAGUUUAAUAGUUUGAUACUCAAUCCGACUCACUAAUUCGAAACAAAAGAUUUGUAAAGUUCUGAAGCUUCAUGAAGCAGUGUUUUGAAAUCUUGAGAGGUGCAGUAACAUUGCUGGCUAUGCAGGCCUCACUGAGCCAUUGGAUUUCAUCAAAAUUAUCUUAAUUUGUGUUCUGAAAAUGAACAAGGAUGUUACGGGUGUGGAACGACAUGAGGGUAAGUAAUAAAUUACAUUAUUUUAUUUUUGGGUGAACAAAGCCUUUUAAGACUUUAAAGUCUUGUUUAUUGCUGCAGCAUUUUAUGAUUGUUAGCACUUUAAGAAAAAUUUUUUUUUACUCCAGCACUUCAAAAGAAGUGUGUGUUGUUGUAUUAUGCAAGCACUUUGAAAAGCAUUACGAGAUUUUUUUUUUUUUUGUUUUUUUUUUUGUAAUUCAUCUUGAUCUUUUAGAACUUCAUGCUGACAGAAAAUGUGCCGUUUUGCAAGCGUCAAUAAAUAUUUUCUAUAAUGUUGA